CUAUAAGCAAAUUCAAAGGAGUUUGAAGGCAAGCUCUUGGGUUUCACAUAAUGUUGACACCAGAAAACUAUGGAAAUAUGUCUUAAAUUUCGUAUAAAAUGAGAACUGGGUUUAGUUUUUUGCCUUUCCGUGUGUUUAUUGUUUGAUAAUUCGUGAAAAUUGCUAUUUUCUUGAUUAUUACAUCCUCUUAUGUAAGCUAUAAAACUUUAAGCCAUUUGUUGUCUACUUUCUGAAGUGUUGGGGGCAUGGGUUAUAGUGGUACUUGUACAUAUUCUCUUUGAAUGCCUAGCUAUGAGUAUUUUUUAAAGCUUACCAGGACGUGGUAAAGAAUUGAUGUUAAUUUCCUUUCUUAUUCUGCAGGUUUCUUUAAUGUUACCGCCAGAGUCAAUUCACAUUGGAUAGGAAAUCGCUUGAUGCAAAUAAGGUAUGUAAAAUUUGAAAUAAGCAAUUAUGUAUUUUAUUUUAUUGUUUUGUUAGUGGUUUUGUGUUAGCAGUAGCAUUCUUGUUGUUUUAUUGAAAUUAUCGAUACAGGUUUAGUUGUGCAAGGGUAAGAUUUUCUUUGUAAUUUUGUGUAUGCCAACUUGCAUUCCUCGUUUAGACUGUAAAUCAGUUUUUCUUUCCAACAUUACCUUCCGUGGUUAAAUUGACAAUUGGUGUUUAAUAGCAGAAGUAAUGGCAAAUAAAUUUUGUGUUUGCGGCAUAUAUAAAUUUUCUACUAAAUUUUAGUAUUUCGUGCGCCAUUUGUGCACCAUUCGUGCCACUCACCAUAAUGAAAUCUUUACUAAGCGGUAAGCAUCAUUUUAGCAUUUCCAGGUCACUCGUGUUUUUUUCCCCUUUAAACUAACUGGUCUCUACAACGAGAAAUGAGAAGACUACACAUGCUCAUAACAGAACAUUUCAAAUCUUCAGCAUAUAAAUGGUGUUUAGUGACAAUGGGGAAAUCUAGCCAAAUAACAAAUUCUACUGAGGGGAAGUGAAGUAUAGCUAAUAACAUAUAAAACUGAGGCAUUAAGUGACAAAAAAGCACGUUUUUUAUUUUCACUUAAGAAACAUACUAGAAUCUAUUACUGUGACAUGAAACUUAAGGUAACUUAAUAGCUAGAAAUCGAUCAUAACAUGAAAUUCUCGAUUAUUGAUUACAAUUGCAGAAAUAAGAGCAAUGUCAUCAAAGCCUGAGUGAUAAAUCCAGGCCUGAGUCUAGACCUUCCUGAUUCUUUUCUAAGUCAGCGUUUCCAUUCCUGUCGUGCGUUGAUUGUGCAAAACUAGAAGCUGAGAGAUACUCAGACAUGUCUAAAACUGUCCCUGCAUUGAAAUUGGUUGUUCCAAAUGUUGAAUUCCACAUACUUACGGUCUGAUUGUCAAUCUUAGGAGGCAGUGUAAUAAACUGGGAAUUUGUCAAAAUAGAUUUUGGCCAUGUGGCGUAACCACAGUCAGGCUGAAGGGCAUAUCGAGCUAUUGGCAACAUUGAAUGUGAAAAAUUGCUGCCGCCUUGCGUUGCUUGCUGUAUGGGUUCAGAGUAAUACGACCUAUUAAUAAUAGAUUGGUUGAGAACUUUUGGGGUGCUGUUGAAAGCAACAGGAUGAGUGAAAAAGGUCUUUCCAUAAUAGGAGGAAAUCCAUGCGUGCUUAAAAUUAUUGCGCCUUUCCUGUGCAUUUCUUUGCACGAGUCGCUCAACUUUGUGGGCAUUUUGGUGCCCCCCAAAUGCUUGCUUACUAGAGAACUUCUUAUGGCAAUACCUGCAGCUAUAUACGUGUUCCUGUGCGUGUUUCAAAGUGUUGGGGAUGUUUGACAUUGCUGGGAUGUUAACUUUGGCAAUAGGUAAUUGCACGAUGGAUGUGAAAAAUUGAAGUCGGCUAUUUGGUUUUGGAGAGACAUGAAGUUGUCAAUAUAUACACGGAGAAAUUAAUGUCCAUAAAUUUCAUGCAGAAGUAUUUCGGAUUGCACGACGCUAAGAUGGUAAGAUACUGAAGACGAGGCAAGACAGAGAUUCGGAUUAUGAAAGGUAAGAUACUAAAGACGAGGCAAGAGAGAGAUUCGGAUUAUAAAAGGUAAGAUACUAAAGACGAUGUAAGCCAGAGAUUCUGAUUUAUGAAAUGCUUGCUAUGCCAUCAAUAUCAUUCCCUAUAUAUCAUAAGUUCACAUCUUCUGAUCACCCAGUCCAUUGACUUAUAAUCUUUGCUUUGGUCUCCCGGUAAUUUCUUAUACUUCUUUUCUUGGAGACUAUUUCAAUGUCAUGGGGAUAUUUGAUCCGACUGGGCUAUUAACCUUAGCUCUAGGUGAGCAUGCUACAUGUAGAAAACUUCCCCAGUUAAUUUGGAGUUCGGAGAGACGUGGACUUUAAUAAUUAUAUACAGAGAGAUUAAUUUCUGUAAAUUUAAGUUGGUUUCCUUAUUGGCCUGUGUUUACAGUCCAUUUUGUUAUUUUACUGAAACUAUUUCAAUUAGUUUUAGUUGUGCAACGAUAAGAUUCUUUGUACUUUAGAUGCGUGUUCUUCAAUUUAAACUGUAAAUGGUUUUACUUACUAACAAUACAACGAAGUGGGAUGUUGCUUCUUAGCUUUCGUUUUUAUAUGGUGUGUGAGUUGAUAAAUUGUGCAGAGCAGCUUACCCAGAAGUAACUAUAAGUAAAUCUUAUUUGCUCAUAUAUAAAAUAUUCUACUAGAUUUUAGUAUUUCAGGUGCUGUUUGUGCACCUUUCGUGCUCAUCGGAUUAUGAUUUAUUUCAUUUCAUAUUUAGAAUUCAUAAUGAAAUCUUUACUAGCCUGUUUGCUCAGACUCUCCAAAAUGGAGGAAGUACUUAUGUUGACACUACACGACACCGGUAGUGGUAUAGGAUCUGGCUACAAUCCCUCAACUUGAAAGAGUAUAUGGCAUGAAGAUGAAAGCCGUGGUUGAGAAAUGAGUUGGAGAAAGAGACCCAGCAAACGGGAACUGCUGAAGUGAAACACUGUGUGCCUAAUUGAUAAAGUAUAAAAAGAGGCUUCUAAAGAAGCCUGGUCAUCAUGGGUUUCAAGCACUAAAAGCUAUUUUAAAAUAAAGUAGGUCAUUGAAAAAGCCGUGAUUUUUCAAGCCACCAAGUCGAACCAGCCCCUCGAUGCUACACAUCAACCCCCAAUGGGUUAAUUCAAUCAGCAAGAGUAACUUGCAAAAAAAUUGUUGUCUAUUUGUCUUGAAGUUUACAGUCAAAAUAUAUCCCUAAAAAUGCAUCUAAAAUAUUAAUAUUCUAAUAGAAAAUAUGUGCUUAUAAGACUUACCCAUGUCCAAAAGUUGGAUCAAUUUCAGCCGUAUCCAUGUAGUCUAAAUUUUAAAGAGAAAGGGAUCCCUCCCAGAUUUGUACCCAUAGCCAAGUCUGAGAAAAAAAGUUACUAGCAUCAUGAUAGGCUCCAAAGGCACAUGGAUAAUUCCAUUUAGUUAGUUAAAGUAGGGGACAAGUAUGGGGAUUUAGUAGGGUGUUUGUUUGUCAUUAGGCUGAAAUCAAGAGGAAAUUGGUGGGAGAGAGUGAUCCUCUUGAAUGCUCACAUUUAUCUGUAAUUGUUUACAUUUUCAGUAUGUAUUCAAUCGAAUACCAAAAAAAAGGAUGAUUUUCUCGAUAUUCUGCUUUCUUCAUCCUUUACAGAAUUAUAAACAAAUAUACAAACACAACUGCUAUACAAACCCAGCAUCAUUUCUGUAAUUGCCUUGUUUGUCAGCAUCAGAUUUAGGAUCCUAUCAAAUGGUAACAGAGAGUUGUGCUUCUCAAUUGCUCAGCAAUUUAUUGUAAUUCUUUAUAUUCAGCUUGUAAUUUGAGACAGUAAUUCAUAACCCGUGUUUUGUUUGUACCUAUCAAAUUGGUUCAGAGCACACCUGGGAGAAGCAAUGUAGACAACUAUGGAGCAACUCAGGGAUAGAAUUUGAUUGAAAGUACUAAUGAUGGAGAAGAUGAUUCAGAAAUUGCGGAAACCAUGAUAAACUAAGCCGAUUUGAGUUAUAAUGCAGGCAAUACUAUACUUGUGUUCGAUGGAAAAAACCUAGAGGAUUGGGUGUAUUGGUAGAAGUCAGGGAUGACAACGGGGUGGGUAUAGGAUGGGUUGGCCAUUCUCACCCCCGUCCUGUCGGGUAUUUUUGUUAUCUUACCCCAUACUGAUACCCGAAUUAAAGUGGGACGGGGUUGGUCAUUUGCCCCAUUUAUUUUUUUCUUUUUAUUUAUUUUCUUUUUUGCUUUUAUUUUUUUUUAUGUUCUAUUAUUAUUUGUUUACCAAUUUUUUAAAACAAUUUAUGUUCUCUUUGAAAAUGAUGAUAAAUCUAUUAUUUUUGUUUGAUAAAAACUUUAAUUUGAAAUUAAAUUUAAACGGGACCAGUAGCAUGGCGGUGAUUAUGUUUCAUGUACUUGUCUCAUACCCACUUUGGGGCAAUGACCCUCGUCCCAUUUACCCGGUAAGGUGGGUAAUCCCCGACCCAUUCAAGAUGGGACCCUACGGGUAUCAGGUUGAACGAGUUUUUUUGCCAUCUCUAGUAAAAGUACAUGGGUGUCUUUUAACUUUGGCACAAGGUAAUUUCAGGAUAAAUAAGAAACACUGUAACCAUUUAAUUUAGUCUUGGAGGGACUUGGAGAUCUUCAUAUGUCAGUGAAAAUGAUUUGGCCAAGUUGUGCACAGUUCGGGCAAAAUUGUGCACAAUUUGUGACAUAGCAAGACUGAAAUUUAUGAAGUUAUAUGGUAUGGAUAGAAUGAUAGAGGAUGAACAGAUGAACAUUAUUAACAAACAUUUAAGUUUGGAACUUGCUUGGGAACGAGAUUGCUAUUUCCUUGCAGCUCUUUUUUGGAACCUAUUAAAUCAAGUUCAAGCUAAUAAGUAGUAAGUAAACAUCAGACUUGACUGAAAUUUGAUUGUCUGAUGAGUUCUCAAGAUUACUAUUUUCCAAAUUUAUUGGCAUUCCAUUUUUCUACAUUUCUGAUAUAUUUAUGCUUUUUAUCAUUGUACUCACUUUUGUCACCCGUUUCUUUGAUAUGAGAGUAGGAAGUGAUAACUAUUAUUAAAGGAAGUUAGGGUGAUAUUUCAGAGAUUACAAUUCAAUUUUGUGCCUGAAGUUGUUACUCUUAUACUUCCGUAGACUUCAUAUUAUGCUUGCUGUCACUGUGUUUUGCAACCACUUCUAGUGAUAUAACUCAUAAAUCGUAAUUUGGAUAUUUUAUUUUCAUUAUUCAGAGGCAUUCGAUUGAACUGCUGCAUCAAUGUCCAAUAUAAACUUUUGUGCAAAUGGUUAUUAUUUUUUGACAAUGAAUUGUCACGUGAAACCUUUUGUUAUGAAUUUUCAUUUCCUGAUUGUAGCUAUUUACUUAAACGCUUAAAAAUUGAUUUUGCUCUCCUGCAACAUAUCUACCACCUUCCAGCCCAUCACUUAGGUGUGAAGGCAGCGAAUCUGCAUAAAUUAUUUCUCAUUCAUAUUUUUGAGGCUCUGUGAUGUGCAAUUCCGAUGUUUGAUAAGCGAGGGUUGAUCUUCUCUUCUUUAUUGGCAUGUUUUUGGUAGGGAAGAUUGGAUAAGACUAAAUGAUUUAUAAAGGAGGAAAAUAAGCUAAAAUGUUAUUUUCUAUUUUGGUGAGUAUUGCUUACCUUACAUGCACAUAUAUUCAUCUAUAUUCUUGCUUACAUGCUUUUCUGCUUUGUUUUAAAGAUAUAUAUACGAGGAAACAAUUGAUAGUUUGUAUUGAAUUUAGAUUUCACCAAUUACAACGUAUUAACUGCUGUUGCACCUUCUUUCAUCAAAUCUCAGGGAUAUGGUCUAAUUGUGAGUGCAAUAUUUUAUCAUUGUGUCGAAGCCAAGUAUUUACGGUUUCCUUCUUGCUACCAUUGUCUCAAGACUUGUGGCUAGACUCUUUACUUAUUGGAAAGAAUUGCAGGAAAUCGUUCAAUAACACUUAUCAUAUUUCUUUUUCAUGACAAUUCCCAUGAAACUCUAUCAAUUCAUAUAUGUGAAUACUGAGGACAAUGGACUUAUGGAAGCCAAAUCUCAUUCUUUGCACCAAUCUAGGAACAAAAAAAGAGUUCGUGACUACUUUUAACAUAGACCGAGUAGAGAGUCCCCAGGACAGGAAGGCAGCAAACCCAGCAACCACCAUCCACUGUCGAAGUUCAUAUUGAUGAAUUAAUUCUCAGCGACCUUCCAGAUAGCAGUUACUAGGGUUUGUCUCCAUCAGUUGCUUGGUCAUCUAGUAGAGAUCAUACCUUUCCUGUUAUGGUUUCCUUGAUUUACUAUUGAAAAUUUCCAGUUUUGUUAUGAAAUACAUAACUCAUUUUCCAAAACAUAAUAAAGAGUAUCGAUCCUUCAAAUGAGUUGUUCAUUUGGUAAUUUGUGCGUUUCCCUUUUGCUGUAAAACGGAUAUAGUCUAAUAUCUUCUUGCUUCAGAUGAACUAGUUCUCCAUCGAGAUGACCUGCAGAACCAAUUGUUGAGAGCUGUUAAGGGUCUAUACUACUGGAGGAAGAGGAGAAGUGUAUACUGGUUGGUUUUACAUUAACCAUUCCUCAAGUUCUACUUCUCGCUCCUAUACGCUCUUCUUGCAUGAUGACUAGGAGCCACUAGCCAGCCCGGCAAAGUUAAUAAAAUGUUCGAGGGAACUGGGUGAUUCUUGAAUAUUUGAUGCACCUGCUUAUAGUUGUAUCCUGGUAUUGUAGGCAUUUAUGCAAUUUCGUGCAAUUUAUGUGUGUAUAUUUUUUCUCAUGUAAAUAUGAUGAUAGAUAUUGUAUGUUUAGAUCAUUCUGCUUAGCAGUGAAUGGCUCUUGUACGAGGGAAAAGAUAAAAAUUGUUCAAUGCUCACGAAACUAUUUAUGUAUUUGGUAUAUUAGAUGACUGGUCAGCAUGGAGAAUACGUAUGGAG
rnacentral:lncRNA from 1 species